rnacentral:misc_RNA from 1 species
ACGUGACGUUGCUUAUAAACCUCAAGAAUACCAUGUCAAGACACGCAAAUGUGAGCCAGAUGCGGGUGGAGAUAUUGUGAAGAUAUGUGAGAGGUUGCGGGAUGAGGAUGGUCACAUUAUUCAGCAUCCUGAGGUGGCAUUUGACAUUUUGAAUCUCAUUUGCAUCCUUGUUUCCAUAUAUGUGUACAAAUGUACUUAUGUUUUGUGUAGCAGUUUAUAUAAUUAUCACCUAAAAUUUUACCUGAAGUAACAAUUGAACUUUUUUUUGGAAAUAGUCUAUGCAUAAAACUCCAUUUACAGUAAAACCAUUUUUAUUUUUGUAAAUGGUGUAUGCAUAAAACUCCAUUUACAGUAAAACCAUUUUUAUUUUUGUAAAUGGUGUAUGCAUAAAACUCCAUUUACAGUAAAACCAUUUUUAUUUUUGUAAAUGGUG